UGGCGAGGAGGUCGUCGACGUAGGCAUCGAGGGUGGUGUAACGACGGAAGUCAAAGUAGUCCGGGUUGACGCUGCCGGCGCAGACGAGGUCGUAUACGAUGACGCGGUAGGACUGCGUCAGGUAAGGGAGAAUGCGCUGCCAGGCGGACUGGUCGGUGCCGAAGCCGUGGGCGAGGACGAGGAACUUAUCUCCGGAGCCGACCACGCGGACGUUUAGGGCGUCGAUUAUGCUGGUGCUGACCAUCUUUGACUGUUAACCGGAGUAGGGGCUUCACUGUUUACUGAUCUCCUUUAGCUAGGGGCAUAUGGUUUUGGACAGAGCUUUUAUCCUGUGUGAUAAGGCAGGCUUCGGAUUGUGAUCUUUUUCCACUCAAAUAGUACUUGGCCUUCAAAGAGGAAAGAGGUGGCCCGGGUGUUGUGUUCUUAGAUGAGGUUUUUGAUUGGAGUUUUCUGUUUGGUUCAUACCAAAUACAUGGUGUUUUGUGGGUCAUACUUCCUGUCAAUAGCAUUGUGACGCGGAUACGUGUGCGAAAGGUUUUUUUUUUUGGAUGUUUUAGAUGAAUUAUUUUUAUAUAUGUGUCAAACUGUAAUUCGCUUAACUAUGAAUAUCUCUUUGCAGGCGAAGAAGGCAAAUAGUAUCCUCAUACAAAAACAAAAAA